AGAUUCGAGUUACCAUCUUCUGUCAUUUCUUCUCACCCUGAAGGACUUCUUUUAGUAUUUACUGUGAGACAGGAUGGCCGGUGCAAGCAGCAGACCCGUCCUCGCAUCCUUCGUUCAAGACCCAAGUCCCAGCGGACAGCGCCAACCGGCCCAUCCUUGGCUGAUCCCAGGGAUGAAGAGGGGUCCAGCCAGAAGACCCUCCAGAUACCUUCAGCCUCUGAGAAUAUCUGCCCACUCUGGACCCACGUUUUCCUGUGCGUAAUUGGAAGAAGCUGAACACGAUGGGUGUGCCAGGCUCUGUUCCAGACAUGAGAAGUCCAAUGGUGAGCACAUAGGCCGGCCAGCCCAUGUCCAGGAGCUGACUGUCCAGCUGGCAAACCUGUGAGCAGGUAGAUCUGUGAACCAUAAUUUGCUGCUUGGGAGCAAAUGCAACAGCGAUGGAGAAUAAA